UUUUUCUCUCUAUAUUUCUAUAUCUACUGAACCUUAAAUCAAAUAUUUCAUUUUCUCUCACGACCUCUAUGCCUAUUGUCACUAGAAGAUGGCCACCAGAAGAUCACGGUUGAGCAGCACCACUGUGCCCACUGUUGCUGGAGGUUGUGGUGACAACAAAAACUCAAAGAGAUCGAGUCGCUAUUGUAUGGAAGAUGGUGGUCCAACGAUUGUAGUCGGCGAUUUGGUGGAUAUCUGGGGUGAAUGUGGUGGUGGUGGUGGUUUUGAAUUUAGAUGUGAUGUAAAUGUGGUGGCGAUGGUGGAAAUCGACUCAUGACUAUGGGAAGAUGGUGGUCUGAUGGCUACAGUCAAUGAUUUGGUGUAGCAGCGGUGAAUGUGUUGUUAAAGAUUGUGGAGGUUGUGGAUUAGGGCAUUUGUUCAAAAUUUGUUGCAUCGCUGUGGUCGAAGUUGGUGUCGCGCCGCUAUGGGUGGAGGUGCUGGUGGUGCGGUGGGUGAAGAUGGGGUGUUGCGUAGAGAUGGUUUUGAGGUUUAUGAUGUGGUUUUUUCUCUAAUCCGGGUAUGAUGGUGAUGGGUUGCCUUGGUGCUAGGUGGUGUUGGAGGUUUUGUGAUGAUUUUUGUCAAUAGUGCAGGUGGAGGUGCUGCCUGGCGCAAUGGAUUUAGCUGUGGUGGUCGUGGUCGCAAGUGUUGGCAACAAAUAAUUUGGUCAAUUGUAACAAU
rnacentral:lncRNA from 1 species